GCAUAACCCGCUGGUGCCGCAUGGCACUGACGGAAAAGAUUUAUCGGUGUGAGAUGGACCCGCGUCUGAUUAGCCAGUUGGCAGGGUAACGGCCUACCAAAGCGACGAUCAGUAGCCGGCCUGAGAGGGUGAACGGCCACAUUGGGACUGAGACACGGCCCAAACUCCUACGGGAGGCAGCAGUGGGGAAUAUUGCACAAUGGGGGAAACCCUGAUGCAGCGACGCCGCGUGAGUGAAGAAGUAUUUCGGUACGUAAAGCUCUAUCAGCAGGGAAGAAAAAAAGUCCUUUGGACUUUGGACGGUACCUGACUAAGAAGCCCCGGCUAACUACGUGCCAGCAGCCGCGGUAAUACGUAGGGGGCAAGCGUUAUCCGGAUUUACUGGGUGUAAAGGGAGCGUAGACGGUGAUGCAAGUCAGAAGUGAAAGCCCGGGGCUCAACUCCGGGACUGCUUUUGAAACUGUGUGACUGGAGUGCAGGAGAGGUAAGCGGAAUUCCUGGUGUAGCGGUGAAAUGCGUAGAUAUUAGGAGGAACACCAGUGGCGAAGGCGGCUUACUGGACUGUAACUGACGUUGAGGCUCGAAAGCGUGGGGAGCAAACAGGAUUAGAUACCCUGGUAG
rnacentral:rRNA from 1 species